CAAAACACAACCAUAACAAGCACACUAAGAACACGGGAAUUUUUACGUGGAAAACCUCUUCAAAUCAAAGAGGAAAAACCACGGGACUUUUGAGUCCACCACAAAUCUCCACUAUAAACAAAAUAAUGUUACAAAUACCACAUCCGCAAUUGUCACAAUACAUAAACAAAUUGAUUUCAAUAACAAAGAGAUUAAAUUCUAGAGAAGAUGAAGAAAAAGAUGAAGAAUUUCACCAAAAACACAGCAAAAUUCAUGGACUAACCAGGCUAGAAGUUUCCAAUUUCGAUCUCCACCAUUCAAACUGAAGAGCCAGAUGUCAAGAACUUGCUGACCAAAUUUGAGCUCGAUCCAAUGGUGAAUGAACUCCUACACUCCGAGAAUUUUUAACCAGGCCAACUAAAGAAGAGCUUGAUUUGCUUUACGCCACCAACUGCUAAACAAUCAAGGGUAUCCUGAAGUGAAUCCACUCUUUAUCUCCUGUACAAGAAUUACAAUCAUAAAAUACUAUUAAUCAAGUUAACAUCAACCAUCAAACAGUACAAAACAUCAAACUGGGUCAAAUUUUUUUUAAAGAUGCUGCUGCCUAACCUUUCAGUAGAAAAUCAUACAUUUUACACCAUUGCCAUGGAAACAAGUGAGAGAUUGAUAAACAGGCAUUAGAGCUGGUAAAUAGGAAUUUAAAUUUGAUUUCACAGUUCACAUCCAAGUACCAUCUUAUUUGACGAUUACUUCCCAAAGUUCCUCUUUUCUUUCUUCCUUACUUCUGCUUCAUUUCCCUUCUAUUCAUGGAAUCUAGCUAUCCCCCUAUUGAAACUUGAGAAAGAAUUAUCAGCAACGCCCCUUGGAUGUCAAGAGGUUUUGUGAGGGCAGUCUCAUCAAUCUACAACAAGUUUCAGGCUGUCUAUUGGAGUUAUCCAUAAAAAGUUCUGUAGAGGAAAAAAAGUUCCGCUUCUUUGUCCUCUCAGUAUUCACAUUCUUAUCAUGCGGGCCACUCAGUAAAAAAGUUCAUCGUCUAUAAUUAUAGACAGGAGAUGAGAAAUCUUGGACCACU
rnacentral:misc_RNA from 1 species